AAAAGUGGUAAUUGCAACACUUCCAACGUUUCUCCUGAAGAGUGAGUACACUAGUAAUUUAGCAUAUUAUUAAACAAACUAGUUCUUACUUCAUUGCCUUUCUGUAACUCCAACCAUGAACUUGUGGAAUAUGAAACUUUCUUUAAAAAAAAAAAAAAAAAAAAAAACCAAAAAACAACAAAAAAAGAAAUGUUCUCGGGAUCUUUCGAAAAGGACAACAAAACAGAACAAAAACUAACAACCGAAUGCACUCUUCCCCUCCAGCAAAAAAAGCACAGUUUCUUUGAGUUCAAUUGUAAACAGUCUGCGUUCAGACAAUUCCUACUUCUUUUAAAAGCACUGGUUGCCUUAGGAGUAAGGUAGGGAAUUGCUCAACUCACUCAUUCUCCAACAAAUUUGCUCAAUAUUACCUUGCAAGUUUCAGUUUGAAAUCACAUUCUUUCAAGCAGUUCUAAUGACACUAUUGCUUAGUGUACCAUCUCGGAGUCCCAAAACAACCUUUGCUAGAACAUCAGUCUUUGCUGACUUAGGGCUAAAUGCUCUUUGCUACCAUUUCACCAUGGAGAGAAGCACAGUCCCCCCAACAGACUGACUCAGUGAGUCACAGAGGAUCUGACUAUUGUGCCUCUUUUUAAGGUGCUAAUGGGAAAAAGAGUCCCAUAUUGCCCCUCCAACCACCCUGCUUUUGAACAGUGGGAAAUGGCCAACACAGAUGAUGCACUGCUGAACUCCUCAAGCUAAGAACUGCUAUGCAGACUUGUCUCAGUGUGGUGGCAUAAUGCAGGUACAGUUACAUGAGGUAGAGCACGACGCUGCUGGAUCACAUCACUCUGCACAUUAGUUUUCCCUUCUCCUCUCCCAUCUCCACUCCAACCUCAGCACUGUGAAAUCACAUCCGAAGGAUGACUUCAGGGUAGGAAGAAAAAACAAAAAUUAAUGCAGAAACAAACUACUAAAGCAACAAAUUCCUGAACCAGUCCACUCAGGAAAUAAGUCAAAGUAGUGGCGACUUUUUUUAUUCUUCCACUUGAAGGCAUUUUGUGAGGAUUUUUUAAUUCAGAAUUUCUACAUGACUGCCCCUACAGUUCACUGCUUGGUCAUAACAGUCUAUUUUAGUUAUUAAAGAUGUACUGGAGAAAGAAAAAUAGUAAAAGAAAUGGACAGAAAAGGGGUCAGGAAGAAGUGAAUAGUCAUCAACAAGCAGCUCACAGAUGGGAAGAGGACAGUUCCAGAGAAUCAGAGAAUCCAGAGUGAAUCAGCCACAUCACAAAAACAACGUGAGCAAGCAGGUCCAGUAAUAAAUGAAGUGGGAAAAAUGUAAUGCUGUUUAUGUUACAGUAGAAGACUGAGGACAUCUUUCAAAAGACAAAUGAACUUUUGUGAUCCAACAAUUUAAAAAAUAAAGAAGAUGGUUUCAUAUGUUGUUUCAUUACUUAAUACUUCUUGGCUUUUUAUUAUUAUUAUUUUUUUUUUUUAACUGUGAAUAAGUACCAUUUUAAAUUAAAUUGGAUUUUUCAAUCCAAAAAAAACCUUGCUAAUGAUGGAGACAGCACUGCAAGCUGAAGGACAAUUAAUUUUUUGGACAAGUGGAAGAGCUGAAAUUCAGAGCUAGGAGUUAAGAAGCAACAAAAGAAAAAGUGGAAAGAAGGUAGAUGGGGCAGGGGGCAGAUUAAGCCAGCCUUGUCUCUAUAGCUGACAUACUGCAUAAUCCUGCCUCAGACUUUGGGGCUUAAAGAUAAGUUUUUUACUUCUCUAAAACUGUUACAUUUCAAAAAUAAGCGGAAAUUAAUUAAUUAUUUGGUUUCAUGCUCUGCAAGACCCUUAAUGACUAUGCAGUAACUAAAUACAUUCCUGCCAAGGCUGGGAUCAUCAAGAAGAAAAGAGUAGAAAUUGUGUAACACAGAGUACAGAUAUAUUCACAUGUUAUAGAUCAAUUUUAUGUUAUACUCUUUAUUUCAAAUGGUAGUAGGGAGAGUAGAAAAAUGAAAUUGAAUACCAAUAAAACUGGCUUAGGUAAUUCUUAGGUACCAAUUUUACACUAUUGACAUAAAACACUGACCAUAAGCACAAGAUGUUUGAAAGUAUUUCACACUUACUUAGAAUACAGAUUAUUACAGAAGCUGUAUUAUGCAAUUCAUAAUUAAGGAUAAUUUAUCCAAUGUAAUAGGAAAGAAGUUGAUGGAAGAUACAGGCCUCGUGCUCAGUGGUAUUGCUUACAUGUUUGUAAUGUGAAUUAUUGGCUAAUUAAUAAAGCACACAUUAUAGGAAUAAUGUAUAUCACAUUAGGGUGAAUUAAUAUGUAAAGAGUGGUAAUAUUCUGUGAGCUAUGUUAUGGAAAGCUGUAUUUAUGCUUUUCAGUGUUUGAAAGAAAAUGUAUGACACUUGCUCUCACCCUUUAUACGAAGAUACAGAUAUGAGGAUCAAGUCCAAUUCCUGACUCCAUACAAGGCAACCUAAGAAUUUCUCAUCACUGGUUCAACUAUAGGAAAUAAAAAUGUGUUUCUUACUGAUAUUUCACAAGAUAAGAUUUUACCUGGCUUCUCCUAGCACUGCUCCCAUUACCCGACGUUUCUCUUCACUUCUGAUGUCUUCAUUUAUAUCUGUUCCUCCAAAGAUGAUUCCAAAAGGAAUUCUGCUACCUGCAAAACAAUGACCAAGGAGGUACUUCUAAUGCAAAAGAGGAAGAGAAUUACCUUGCAGAUGUCUGCCUCCUUUAUAAAGAUGAAUGGCCAGGGCUGCAUCAAAUUGAUCUGGAG